AACCAGCAGAUUGAGAUUUUUGUAACCAAUCAUUUGAGCAUCUUGGUGGAGUCCCAAUAGCACCACAAUAAUCUCCAUCACACAACACAUCUAUCUAUCUAUCCACAUAUAAAUUUCAUAAUUUAUUAUUUAAUUAAUUUCCAUUAUUCAAGAGAGAGAAGCUAAAAUGAAGCAAACCCAUUCUUUGGUUUUGCAACAUUUUGCAGAAAUUUAAACAUCUCUCAUCACUAGCAGUAAUUAAUAAGAAACUAAUUGAUAUGACAAGCUCUCCUAUAAUUAUUGAAGUCAAGAAAUUAAUACAAAUAUAUGAAAAUUUUCAACUGUGAAUAAAACCACAAGAUAGUCGCAUGAGUAGUAUUGCUGCCUCUUCCACAUCUUGUGGAAACACUCGUUGAAGAGCAGGAUUCUUGCUCAAGCUUAAUGCAAGAUUCUUGAAGCUGCAAAUCUUCUUUUGGCCCUGUGGUGAAUCAGGAGGCUUCCAGAGUUUCUUGCCUUGUGCAGUAUGGCCUGUACGCGACUUCUUUUCCUUGUGCAACUUACUUUUUGUAGAUGAUGACGAUGAUGAUGAUGAU
rnacentral:misc_RNA from 1 species